rnacentral:rRNA from 1 species
GACGAACGCUGGCGGCGUGCUUAACACAUGCAAGUCGAACGGAAAGGCCCUGCUUUUGUGGGGUGCUCGAGUGGCGAACGGGUGAGUAACACGUGAGUAACCUGCCUUUGACUUUGGGAUAACUUCAGGAAACUGGGGCUAAUACCGGAUAGGAGCUCCUGCUGCAUGGUGGGGGUUGGAAAGUUUCGGCGGUUGGGGAUGGACUCGCGGCUUAUCAGCUUGUUGGUGGGGUAGUGGCUUACCAAGGCUUUGACGGGUAGCCGGCCUGAGAGGGUGACCGGACACAUUGGGACUGAGAUACGGCCCAGACUCCUACGGGAGGCAGCAGUGGGGAAUAUUGCACAAUGGGCGGAAGCCUGAUGCAGCAACGCCGCGUGCGGGAUGACGGCCUUCGGGUUGUAAACCGCUUUCGCCUGUGACGAAGCGUGAGUGACGGUAAUGGGUAAAGAAGCACCGGCUAACUACGUG